GGGCGCGGGCCCUUUCCCCGGGCGGCCAGGCGCGCACCCCACCCCCUCCCGUGCCCGGACGAAGGAGUUUUCUGAUCCUUUCGCAGGAAUCAGGACCGAUUUCCUGUAACUGCUUACACUAACCAAAUGCCCGAAGCUUACCAAGCAACUCAUUUUUCCAUGAAAGAAACAAAUAAGUACCUGCUACCUUCUGAAUUCCUAAUCAGCCCAGACUACAAAGACUUGCAGAAAUAGCUUAAUAAGUUAACAUAAUUAGGGUAAUUAUUACCUGCAUUUUUCAUUAACUGUUAUUUGUACAUCUUUUUGGGCCAAAAAGAGCCUGAGGCAACCCACAAUAAAAAGUAUUCAACAAUGUGCAGAAAGGCCAAGAGCCAAAACCAGCACUGCUGAUGGUUCUUCAGAACUCCAGGCUAAUGCUGCAGUGUUUCCACCUGAGAACUUGAUUGGCCAGAAACCCUGAGGCUAUGACAGUGACCUCAGUGCCCUCAGGACAUGGCCGACCAUCUAAUUUAAAGAGAGGAUGAGGAGCGACGAGCUGGCGGUGGCCAUGGAAGAGACUGGUGGGCAGGACGAGGCGGCGGCGGCGGCGCAGGGCGGCCCUUUCCCCGGCCUGGCGCUGGCGCCUCCCGG